rnacentral:rRNA from 1 species
UACGUAGGGUGCGAGCGUUACUCGGAAUUACUGGGCGUAAAGCGUGCGCAGGCGGCGCCGCAAGUCAGGCGUGAAAUCCCCGAGCUUAACUUGGGAAUGGCGCUUGAAACUACGGUGCUGGAGUGUGGCAGAGGGAGGUGGAAUUCCACGUGUAGCGGUGAAAUGCGUAGAGAUGUGGAGGAACACCGAUGGCGAAGGCAGCCUCCUGGGCAAACACUGACGCUCAUGCACGAAAGCGUGGGGAGCAAACAGG